rnacentral:rRNA from 1 species
AUUGAACGCUGGCGGCAUGCCUUACACAUGCAAGUCGAACGGUAACAGGUCUUCGGAUGCUGACGAGUGGCGAACGGGUGAGUAAUACAUCGGAACGUGCCUAGUAGUGGGGGAUAACUACUCGAAAGAGUGGCUAAUACCGCAUGAGAUCUACGGAUGAAAGCAGGGGAUCGCAAGACCUUGUGCUACUAGAGCGGCCGAUGGCAGAUUAGGUAGUUGGUGGGAUAAAAGCUUACCAAGCCGACGAUCUGUAGCUGGUCUGAGAGGACGAUCAGCCACACUGGGACUGGGACACGGCCCAGACUCCUACGGGAGGCAGCAGUGGGGAAUUUUGGACAAUGGGCGAAAGCCUGGUCCAGCAAUGCCGCGUGCAGGAUGAAGGCCUUCGGGUUGUAAACUGCCUUUGUACGGAACGAAAAGCCCCGGGUUAAUACCCUGGGGUCAUGACGGUACCGUAAGAAUAAGCACCGGCUAACUACGUGCCAGCAGCCGCGGUAA